rnacentral:rRNA from 1 species
AUUGAACGCUGGCGGCAGGCCUAACACAUGCAAGUCGAGCGAGCGGCGGACGGGUGAGUAAUGUCUGGGAAACUGCUUGAUGGCGGGGGAUAACUCCUGGAAACGGUAGCUAAUACCGCAUACCAUCAGAUGUGCCCAGAUGGGUUUAGCUAGUAGGUGGGGUAACGGAUCACCUAGGCGACGAUCCCUACCUGGUCUGCGAGAAUAACCAGCAACACUGGAACGAGGACACGGUCCAGACUCCUACGGAGGGCAGCAGUGGGGAAUAUUGAAAAAUGGGCGCAAGCCUGAUGCAGCCAGGCGGCGUGUGUGAAGAAGGCCUUCGGGUUGUAAAGCACUUUAAGCGGGGAGGCGUUACCCGAAGAAGAAGCAACGGCUAACUCCGUGACAGCAGCCGCGGUAAUAC